rnacentral:rRNA from 1 species
GAGUUUGAUCGUGGCUCAGGACGAACGCUGGCGGCGUGCCUAAUACAUGCAAGUCGAGCGGAUCUUCAUUAGCUUGCUUUUGAAGAUCAGCGGCGGACGGGUGAGUAACACGUGGGCAACCUGCCUGUAAGACUGGGAUAACUUCGGGAAACCGGAGCUAAUACCGGAUAAUCCUUUUCCUCUCAUGAGGAAAAGCUGAAAGACGGUUUCGGCUGUCACUUACAGAUGGGCCCGCGGCGCAUUAGCUAGUUGGUGAGGUAACGGCUCACCAAGGCGACGAUGCGUAGCCGACCUGAGAGGGUGAUCGGCCACACUGGGACUGAGACACGGCCCAGACUCCUACGGGAGGCAGCAGUAGGGAAUCUUCCGCAAUGGAUGAAAGUCUGACGGAGCAACGCCGCGUGAGCGAUGAAGGCC